AUGAAGUUGAACCCAGUAGGUUUUCGAAUUGAUUACUUUUAAAAAAUACAUAAAAUUAAAAGGUCACAGACUACCAAUUUCGUGAAAAGAAAUAUACAAAACUAUCGACAACUUAUGAUAUUUGCUGAAGUACACAAAAGUGUACUUCAACUUCUGCUUAGAUACCAAAAUACUCCUUAUUCAUAAAAAUGUAUACAAAUAUGUGAAAUCAAUAAUAAUCAUGUAGUCAUGAUUGAACAUUUCUUCUCAACAUUUGAAGAUUUUCUUUUCAAAAAUUAUUUAAAUGUUAUUUCAAAGUGUACAUAAUAAUCAUACUAUAUAUGCCUCGUUUCAUUGGCCCAUUUUGUAAGAUAUGUUAUUAACAGUACAAGAAACAUCGCGUAUUAUUAAGCAUGGGUUAGGGUCAAAUAUCUUUUUUGUGAUAUUUUCUAAAUAUUUUUUAAUCAAACAUGUGUUAUACUGACUAUAAUUUAUACCAAGAUUAAUAAAUGUCAUAUUAAUGAAAUAGCUACAAAAUAUUGCUAAACUAAUGUAUAAUACUAAAAAUUACUUUUCUUUGUUAAAAAGAAGCAAAGGAAAGAAGAUGAAUGUAUAAGUGAUGAGAAAAUUCUAUGUAUGUACAUGCUAAUAUAAUAAAAAUGAAAGUAAAAUGAAA